AACAUCAUCUUUUCCCUUAAUUUCCAAAGUCAUGACCUUCCAACCUUGUACUGAAAAUUCUUAGUUAUUACUUGUGUUAGAUUCGGAAGUUUGUAAUAUUCAAGCUAAAUUUUGAAAGACAGAUGAGGUACGUGUUUGAUAUGGUUUAACUGGAUUUCUAACAAUGGAAUUACAUUGUUGACUAUGUGACUAAACACAUUUGGAUUUUCAUAUGCCUUUUGGGGUUGGAGAACAUGCAUUGGAAUACUAGAUAUAUGCUUAAAACAAGACUAUCAUUAUAUACUUGCUCCAUUUUCACACAACCAUUUUCAUAUGAAAUCUAACGGUCAAAAUUGAAAUUAUGUGUUAGAUUGUUGAAUAUAUAAAAGUAGCAGAUGCCCUAUUUAACGGAGGCUUUAUAACUCCUUUUCUACUUUUGGCUCUUGGUUACUCAUUCAAAACUCUGGACAUCAAAAAAAAAAAAAAAAAGGGUCAUUGUGGUAGCAUGAAGCUCCUGACAUUGUGGCUUGAUAUAGUGCUGUUCAUGAACAGUUGAACUUCCCUGUCAAACUCCAACAAAUGCUAGAUAAAAUUUUAAUGUAUAUUAUAACUUUCGCUUCUGGGAUUCGGUGGCCAUAUUUGAAAUCUGGGCUCUGAGUUUUAUAUCCUGCUUAGACAUUUUUCUCUCUGGCAGGGAGAAGUUGAUUGUCCAUUCUACCUGAAAACUGGCAGCUGCAAGUAUGGUCAAACAUGUCGGUACAAUCACCCAGAUAGAAAUGCAAUCAACCCCCCUGCUGCUGCUAUAGGUGCAGCGUAUAUAGCCUCUCCUGCACCAAAUUUAAGCAUCGGAAUUGUUAAUCCAGCUGCAUCUAUCCUGCAGACUUUUGACCCAAGGCUGACACAGACAACGGUUGGAUUGGCCGCUGCUAUCUACCCACAACGACCUGGAGAGGCUGCGUGUGAUGUCUGUAUU